CAAGUCGAACGGAGUAGCAAUACUUAGUGGCAGACGGGUGAGUAACAUGUGGGUAUCUUCCCUUUGGUGAGGAAUAACACGAGGAAACUUGUGCUAAUACCUCAUAAGUCUUUACAGAGAAAGCUUUAUGCGCCAUUGGAUGAGCCUGCACUUGAUUAGUUUGUUGGUAGGGUAAUGGCCUACCAAGACUGUGAUCAAUAGCUGAUCUGAGAGGAUGAUCAGCCACAUUGGGACUGAGACACGGCCCAAACUCCUACGGGAGGCAGCAGUAGGGAAUAUUGCACAAUGGAGGAAACUCUGAUGCAGCGAUGCCGCGUGAGUGAAGAAGGCCUUUGGGUUGUAAAGCUCUUUCGUCGGGGAAGAAAAUGACUGUACCCGAAUAAGAAGGUCCGGCUAACUUCGUGCCAGCAGCCGCGGUAAUACGAAGGGACCUAGCGUAGUUCGGAAUUACUGGGCUUAAAGAGUUCGUAGGUUGUUAAAAAAGUUGGUGGUGAAAUCCCAGAGCUUAACUCUGGAACUGCCAUCAAAACUUUUUAGCUAGAGUAUGAUAGAGGAAAGCAGAAUUUCUAGUGUAGAGGUGAAAUUCGUAGAUAUUAGAAAGAAUACCAAUUGCGAAGGCAGCUUUCUGGAUCAUUACUGACACUGAGGAACGAAAGCAUGGGUAGCGAAGAGGAUUAGAUACCCUCGUAGUCCAUGCCGUAAACGAUGUGUGUUAGACGUUGGAAAUUUAUUUUCAGUGUCGCAGCGAAAGCAUUAAACACACCGCCUGGGGAGUACGACCGCAAGGUUAAAACUCAAAUGAAUUGACGGGGACCCGCACAAGUAGUGGAGCAUGUGGUUUAAUUCGAAGAUACGCGCAGAACCUUACCAACACUUGACAUGUUCGUCGCGACUUUAAGAGAUUAAAGUUUUCGGUUCGGCCGGACGAAACACAGGUGCUGCAUG
rnacentral:rRNA from 1 species